ACGCAAUUAUGACCCUGCUACCAAGAUGUGGAACUUCAGCCUUGAGGACUAUCGUCAGCUAAUGGAGGAGUCCGGCUCCAUCUCCUGUAUAUGUCUGAAACCUCUGGUGGGGGGUAUUGACGUGGCGCCGGGGUCUAGCCGGUCC